CCUACGGGAGGCAGCAGUGGGGAAUAUUGGGCAAUGGGCGCAAGCCUGACCCAGCAACGCCGCGUGAAGGAAGAAGGCUUUCGGGUUGUAAACUUCUUUUGUCAGGGAAGAGUAGAAGACGGUACCUGACGAAUAAGCCACGGCUAACUACGUGCCAGCAGCCGCGGUAAUACGUAGGUGGCAAGCGUUGUCCGGAUUUACUGGGUGUAAAGGGCGUGUAGCCGGGUUGACAAGUCAGAUGUGAAAUCCUGCGGCUUAACCGGAGAACUGCAUUUGAAACUGUUGAUCUUGAGUACUGGAGAGGCAGACGGAAUUCCUAGUGUAGCGGUGAAAUGCGUAGAUAGUAGGAGGAACACCAGUGGCGAAGGCGGUCUGCUGGACAGCAACUGACGGUGAGGCGCGAAAGCGUGGGGAGCAAACAGGAUUAGAUACCCCAGUAGUC
rnacentral:rRNA from 1 species